rnacentral:tRNA from 1 species
CAAGAAAUAGCUUAAUAGUAAAGUAUUUUAGUUACAUUAAAAAGAUAUAAAAAAAUUUUCUUGA